AACGAACGCUGGCGGCAUGCCUAACACAUGCAAGUCGAACGAGACCUUCGGGUCUAGUGGCGCACGGGUGCGUAACGCGUGGGAACCUGCCCUUAGGUUCGGAAUAACUCCCCGAAAGGGGUGCUAAUACCGGAUAAUGUCUUCGGACCAAAGAUUUAUCGCCUUUGGAUGGGCCCGCGUUGGAUUAGCUAGUUGGUAGGGUAAAAGCCUACCAAGGCGACGAUCCAUAGCUGGUCUGAGAGGAUGAUCAGCCACACUGGGACUGAGACACGGCCCAGACUCCUACGGGAGGCAGCAGUGGGGAAUAUUGAACAAUGGGCGAAAGCCUGAUCCAGCAAUGCCGCGUGAGUGAUGAAGGCCUUAGGGUUGUAAAGCUCUUUUACCCGGGAUGAUAAUGACAGUACCGGGAGAAUAGGCUCCGGCUAACUCCGUG
rnacentral:rRNA from 1 species